GGACGAACGCUGGCGGCGUGCUUAACACAUGGCAAGUGGAGCGACGAACCGGGGCUUGCCCCGGGGCAGAGCCGCGAACGGGUGAGUAACACGUGGGUAACCUGCCUCAAUGAUUGGGACAACCCGGGGAAACUCGGGCUAAUACCAAAUGUGUUCACUCCUUCUAAGGGGAGUGAGGAAAGGAAGCUUCGGCCUCCGCAUUGAGAUGGGGCCCGCGGCCCAUUAGCUUGUUGGUGAGGUAACGGCUCACCAAGGCUUCGAUGGGUAGCUGGUCUGAGAGGACGAUCAGCCACACUGGGACUGAGACACGGCCCAGACUCCUACGGGAGGCAGCAGUGGGGAAUCUUGCACAAUGCGCGAAAGCGUGAUGCAGCAACGCCGCGUGGGGGAAGACGGCCUUCGGGUUGUAAACCCCUUUCAGUUGGGACGAAGCUUCGUCGGUGAAUAGCCGGUUGGAGUGACGGUACCUUCAGAAGAAGCCCCGGCUAACUACGUG
rnacentral:rRNA from 1 species